UCACAUGCUUGUCUCAAAGACUAAGCCAUGCAAGUCUAAGUACAUGCCGUAUUAAGGUGAAACCGCGAAUGGCUCAUUAAAUCAGUUAUGGUUCCUUAGAUCGUACUUUUCUACUUGGAUAACUGUGGCAAUUCUAGAGCUAAUACAUGCAGCAGAGCUCCGACCUUCGGGGACGAGCGCUUUUAUUAGACCAAGACCAAUCGGACCUCGGUCCGUACUCCACGGCGACUCUGGAUAACUUUGGGCUGAUCGCACGAUCUAGCAUCGGCGAUAUUUCUUUCAAGUGUCUGCCUUAUCAACUGUCGAUGGUAGGUUAUGCGCCUACCAUGGUCGUAACGGGUAACGGGGAAUCAGGGUUCGAUUCCGGAGAGGGAGCCUGAGAAACGGCUACCACAUCCAAGGAGGCAGCAGGCGCGCAAAUUACCCAAUCCCGGCACGGGGAGGUAGUGACGAAAAAUAACAAUACGGGACUCUCUUGAGGCCCCGUAAUUGGAAUGAGUACACUCUAAAUCCUUUAACGAGGAUCUAUUGGAGGGCAAGUCUGGUGCCAGCAGCCGCG
rnacentral:rRNA from 1 species